CCUACGGGUGGCUGCAGUGGGGAAUAUUGCACAAUGGGGGAAACCCUGAUGCAGCGACGCCGCGUGAGUGAAGAAGUAUUUCGGUAUGUAAAGCUCUGUCAGCAGGGAAGAAAAUGACGGUACCUGACCAAGAAGCCCCGGCUAACUACUUACCAGAAGCCGUGGUAAUACGUAGGCGGCAAGCGUUAUCCGGAUUUACUGGGUGUAAAGGGAGCGUAGACGGCAUGGCAAGUCUGGAGUGAAAGGCGGGGGCUCAACCCCCGGACUGCUCUGGAAACUGCCAGGCUGGAGUGCAGGAGAGGUAAGUGGAAUGCGUAGUGUAGCGGUGAAAUGCGUAGAUAUUAGGAGGAACACCAGUGGCGAAGGCGGCUUACUGGACUGUAACUGACGUUGAGGCUCGAAAGCGUGGGGAGCAAACAGGAUUAGAUACCCGAGUAGUC
rnacentral:rRNA from 1 species